GGCGGCGGGUCGGUUUAGGGAGAAGGAGACAGAGCUAGGUCCUUCGUUUAGGGCCCAGGUUUGGGGAUGACUGGAGUCUGUGAUGCCUCACCAACAUGGUGCAUGAUCCCUACCAGCACUUGUGUAUGGGGAUACUCAACUGAAUAUUGCACCACUGCUAGGAUAGGAUCCCCAGAUGUGGCUCCCAGCCCAGUGGGCCAUCCCGGAGGACCAUCGCCUCUGAGGACAGAAAGCUGAUGCUCUUCUAGCCCCAGAGGAGUGCUGUGGGACCAUGGAGAUCGGAGCAGACGACGAUGGAGCAGCUCAGAGGUGGACAUUCCAUGAGCCCUGAUGUAGCAGCGGAGACGGAUCACCGGUGGACUGUACCACAGUCCAGGACUGCGUUGCCCCGAGUGGGCUUUGGACUCUGCGCCACAUUUGCCAUACACUAUCUUGCCUCUCUGGUCUACUGCCUUAUGUAUCCGGCCAGUUCCCUCCCUCUCACUGUCCCCAUCCCCUUCCUUCCUUGCCCUGGAUGAUGCUGUUUCCUUUGGCCCUAAACACUGUGCCUUCUGUAGCUGUGGGUCCAGCGCUUAGAACAGUGCUCGGCACAUAAGUGCUUAACAAAUAUUAUUUAUUAUUUUAAGGAUCUGGGCAGGCUCCACCUGGGGUGCUGUGUGUGUAGGGGGAGGUGUCUGUGAUGGGCAGGGGUGAGAAAGUGGUAGGUGGGACUCCCUUUCUCUGCAGGGAGGCAGUCUUGGAAGCAGGAGCUGGGGCUCUGACCAGGGACUCUGCCUCUUUCUGACCCGACUUGGGGGGGCAGGUUUGGGCUGGGGCCCUUAAUUCUAUAGACAGACCAAACCGCCUCCCUGGCCCGGUCUGCAGAGUUUCCUGUUCAUCCCCAGCCCCUGUGGAUUCAAGGCCCCUCCCGGCCAGACAGUGGGAGCCCCGGGGGGAGGAGAAUGCAGGAGCAGGGCAGAGUGUGAGCCUGGAAGUGUGAAUGUGUUUGUGUGAGCCUGUAUGCACAAUACCUCAUGGAGGAGCUGGGGAGUGGGGUGAGGACUUGAUCCCUCAGGAGUCAAGGUCGAAGUGUUCCCCAAAGGAAACAGCACAGUCCCCUUCCCCACCACUGACUGGUCCCAGCUCUUUGGAAGCCGCCCUGGAAUGUGGAAUAAAAUGUUCACUCUG